rnacentral:rRNA from 1 species
UCUACGGGAUGCAGCAGUGGGGAAUAUUGGGCAAUGGGCGCAAGCCUGACCCAGCAACGCCGCGUGAAGGAAGAAGGCUUUCGGGUUGUAAACUUCUUUUGUCAGGGAAGAGUAGAAGACGGUACCUGACGAAUAAGCCACGGCUAACUACGUGCCAGCAGCCGCGGUAAUACGUAGGUGGCAAGCGUUGUCCGGAUUUACUGGGUGUAAAGGGCGUGUAGCCGGGUUGACAAGUCAGAUGUGAAAUCCUGCGGCUUAACCGCAGAACUGCAUUUGAAACUGGUGAUCUUGAGUACUGGAGAGGCAGAUGGAAUGCCUGGUGUAGCGGUGAAAGGCGUAGAUAUCAGGAGGAACACCAGUGGCGAAGGCAGUCUGCUGGACAGCAACUGACGGUGAGGCGCGAAAGCGUGGGGAGCAAACAGGAUUAGAUACCCGAGUAGUC